GUGUCUCCAUAUCUUCAGAGUAAAUAAAAUGGCAGCAAGCUCUAAGUCAUGUGUAGGAUAAUUCCUUUCAUGGGGUUUUAGCUGGUGUGAAGCAUAUAACAUUUCUAUCUUGCAUCUCAACACACAGCCUAACUCAUUGUGAAAUGCAUCACUGUAUACCCAGAGUAGGUAACGUCAAGACAGCUUCAGUUAAACAUCUCUUCAACUCAUCAAAACUCUGC
rnacentral:misc_RNA from 1 species